UGUUAGAGAAUAUUAUAUUAUAGAAUUCUCCUAAUAUUAGGAUUCUAGUAUGAUUCGGUUACCUAGAUUAGUUAGGAUUUAGUUACCUAGUCAAACUCUAUUACCUUGCAAUAUUUCUCUAUAUAUAUUCCAUGUAAUCAACCCAUAACAUAAUGGGGGUUUCUAUUCUACAUAUUAUUAUUUCUCUUCUUCUCUAUUCUUCCUAUAUGGUAUCAGAGCACCAGGUUUAGGUUUUUUUUAACCUAGCCGCCUUCCUUCUCCAUGGCGGUGAAAACCUAGCCGCCUUUCUUCUCCAUGGCGGUGACCACCCGAUUUUCUCCCUCCCCCGGUGGUGG
rnacentral:lncRNA from 1 species